GACGAACGCUGGCGGCGUGCCUAAUACAUGCAAGUAGAACGCUGAAGGAGGAGCUUGCUUCUCUGGAUGAGUUGCGAACGGGUGAGUAACGCGUAGGUAACCUGCCUGGUAGCGGGGGAUAACUAUCGGAAACGAUAGCUAAUACCGCAUAAUAGCAGUUGUUGCAUGACAACUGUUUGAAAGGUGCAAUUGCACCACUACCAGAUGGACCUGCGUUGUAUUAGCUAGUUGGUGGGGUAACGGCUCACCAAGGCGACGAUACAUAGCCGACCUGAGAGGGGGGGCGGCCGCGCUGGGACGGGGACACGGCCCAGACGCCUGCGGGAGGCAGCAGUAGGGAAUCUUCGGCAAUGGACGGAAGUCUGACCGAGCAACGCCGCGUGAGUGAAGAAGGGUUUCGGAUCGUAAAGCUCUGUUGUAAGAGAAGAACGAGUGUGAGAGUGGAAAGUUCACACUGUGACGGUAUCUUACCAGAAAGGGACGGCUAACUACGUG
rnacentral:rRNA from 1 species